AGCAGCCGCGGUAAUUCCAGCUCCAAUAGCGUAUAUUAAAGUUGUUGCAGUUAAAAAGCUCGUAGUUGAAUUUCGGGAUCAGUACGCUGGUCGUGCCUUUGAUAUGUACUGGUGUCACUGAUUCCUCCCUUCUGAAGAACCGUUAUGCCAUUUAUUUGGUGUGGCGGGGAAUCAGGACUGUUACUUUGAAAAAAUUAGAGUGUUUAAAGCAGGCUCGCGCUUGAAUACAUUAGCAUGGAAUAAUGAAAUAGGACGUUUGAUCUUAUUUUGUUGGUUUCUAGGAUCGACGUAAUGAUUAAUAGGGAUAGUUGGGGGCAUUAGUAUUCAAUUGUCAGAGGUGAAAUUCUUGGAUUUAUUGAAGACUAACUACUGCGAAAGCAUUUGCCAAGGAUGUUUUCAUUAAUCAAGAACGAAAGUUAGGGGAUCGAAGACGAUCAGAUACCGUCGUAGUCUUAACCAUAAACUAUGCCGACUAGGGAUCGGAUGAUGUUAUUUUAAUGA
rnacentral:rRNA from 1 species